rnacentral:rRNA from 1 species
UGGGGAAUUUUGGACAAUGGGGGAAACCCUGAUCCAGCCAUCCCGCGUGUGCGAUGAAGGCCUUCGGGUUGUAAAGCACUUUUGGCAGGAAAGAAACGUCGCGGGUUAAUACCCCGCGAAACUGACGGUACCCGCAGAAUAAGCACCGGCUAACUACGUGCCAGCAGCCGCGGUAAUACGUAGGGUGCAAGCGUUAAUCGGAAUUACUGGGCGUAAAGCGUGCGCAGGCGGUUCGGAAAGAAAGAUGUGAAAUCCCAGAGCUUAACUUUGGAACUGCAUUUUUAACUACCGGGCUAGAGUGUGUCAGAGGGAGGUGGAAUUCCGCGUGUAGCAGUGAAAUGCGUAGAUAUGCGGAGGAACACCGAUGGCGAAGGCAGCCUCCUGGGAUAACACUGACGCUCAUGCACGAAAGCGUGGGGAGCAAACAGGAUUAGAUACCCUGGUAGUCCACGCCCUAAACGAUGUCAACUAGCUGUUGGGGCCUUCGGGCCUUGGUAGCGCAGCUAACGCGUGAAGUUGACCGCCUGGGGAGUACGGUCGCAAGAUUAAAAACUU